UACGAAGGGGGCGAGCGUUGUUCGGAAUUACUGGGCGUAAAGGGCUCGUAGGCGGCCAACUAAGUCAGACGUGAAAUCCCUCGGCUUAACCGGGGAACUGCAUCUGAUACUGGAUGGCUUGAGUUCGGGAGAGGGAUGUGGAAUUCCAGGUGUAGCGGUGAAAUGCGUAGAUAUCUGGAGGAACACCGGUGGCGAAGGCGGCAUCCUGGACCGACACUGACGCUGAGGAGCGAAAGCCAGGGGAG
rnacentral:rRNA from 1 species